CCCAGGAUCCACAGGUGUUCCCAUUCCCUGAUCAAGACUAAACACAGACCACUCACCAUGGGCUUUUGGCUCAGCUGGGUUUUCCUUGUGGCUAUAUUUAAAGGUGUCCAGUGUGAGGUGCAGCUGGUGGAGUCUGGGGGAGGCUUGGUGCAGCCUGGGGGGUCUCUGAGACUCUCUUGUGCAGCCUCUGGAUUCACCUUCAGUAGCUACUGGAUGAGCUGGGUUCGCCAGGCUCCAGGGGAGGGGCUGGAGUGGGUCUCAUAUAUUAAUCCUGAUGGGAGUACCACAAGCUAUGCCCAAUCUGUGAAGGGCCGGUUCACCAUCUCCAGAGACAAUGCCAAAAACACGCUGUAUCUGCAAAUGAACAGCCUGAGUGCCGAGGACAUGGCCCUGUAUUAUUGUGUGAGAGACACAGUGAGGGGAAGUCAGUGUGAGUCCAGACACAAACCUUCCUUUAGCAGAGGCUGUGACCACCAGGUGGCGCCCAGGGUUCUCUGA